AUAGAAAGACAACCAUUUCUCAUGAAUGCGGAAAAAGGAAUCGGCAAAGAAAAUUCAAUGCGGACGACUUCGAAAGAUUCUAGGGCAAAAUUUCCCAAUUCUGCCAUUAUAAGUAUUGAGAACUGUCGCCACUGCACAUUUCGAAACCAUCCAAACCACAGCACCGGCGAGUUCAGAUUUCAGAAGAAGGAACACCGAAUUAGAUAAAAUUUCCGGUGUUGGAUAUCUGAAUACUAGACAGAAAUGGCGGUUGAAGCAUCCCUAGGUAAUUCUGUGGCGUCCUCAUCGGCAAAGAACGUUAAAUCAACCGGAAAAUCGGAUGUCGGUAGCCAAGUAGUAUAUUGCCAUCAGUGUCGUCAAAAAACUAGGGCUCCCGCAGCAGCAUGCAGGAAUCUUACGAAGAAGAAACCCUGUUCAGUAAAGUUAUGUCGCAGAUGCCUAUGGAACAGGUACCGUGAAGAGGUGGAGGAAGUAGCUAGUUUGGAGGAAUGGAAGUGCCCGAAAUGCAGGGGCGCUUGCAACGGCAGUGUGUGCUUGAAGAAAAGAGGCCUUCAACCCAUGGGUGUACUUACCAAUGCAGCAAAAGCGACUGCCGAGAUGCCAACUGCUGAGGGUUCAGAUAAUGGAAAGGAUUUAUUAUCUCCUAGAAAGAAAGGGAAGGAAAGUUUGGAUGCAGAUGAUAAUACCUCUUCAACGAGAAUGAAGCAUUCUAAAUUGGCAGAAACCAGCCAGACUAUUCCUAAAGAAAUUGUGCUGCCAGAGGGAACAGAUUUGAGCAGUGUGGCUGGCAUUGAUGUACCUGCAGAAGAUGUUAGAAAUGCUUUGGAGUUUCUUGAAUUCUGUUAUGUUUUUGGAGAGAUCCUAAAAUUGAAAGAUGGGGAAGCAUUAUGUGUCCUCCGAGAUAUAUUUCAUGGGCGAACUGCAAAGCAUGGAAGAUCAUGUCCGGCUAUCCUGUUUCAUGUACACCUGCUAUCAGUAAUUAAUGAGGAAGAGGGAGAGAAGGUUGCGAAGCCGAAUCCGAACUCGUGGUUCAGUGUGCUAAAGAAAUGCUUUGCUGAAUCUGAACAUGUUCUUAAAAUGUUGGGGAAGCAUUAUUUAGAGAAGGCUGCCGACCAUGACGCUUUAAAUGCUUCAGAAAUGCUUAGGGUCUUAAAUCUACUAUGCAUUCAUGCUCUUGGCACGAAAAAGCUAAGAAAUUGGAUAAAACAUCAAAAAACACAAUUUGACCCAAAGGCAGAAGAAGCUAUGCAUAAGGUUUUUGAAGCAAAAGGCGAGAAAAUAAAAGAGGACGCUGCCAAAGCUAUUGAUGCUAGGGAUCAAUUGUUUCUCUUAAUAGAUCUGCUGCAGAGCAAGCUCAUGGAAAGCUGCUCGAGUCAGAGGCAAUGCUUUUGAAGCUAGAUCAGACAGCUGAUGCUACAAGAGUAGAGCCCAUCUUCACAGAGUGCAGUGGUCAUAUGUAUUGGAAAUGUAAAUGUGCUGAUGAAUCUGAUGUACUGCAUCAAGAUGUUGGGAAAGAGGAUACUCUUACCUUAAAUGAAAAAUGGUUUGCACUCGGUGCGGAAGGGAAAUAAGAAAUUGUGAAGAAUAUUACUGCAAGAUCAUUCCUACACACAGAAAGAGCUAAGAUAGAAAGGCAACCAUUUCUCUUAAAGGCGGGAAAAGGAAUCGGCAAAGAAAAUUUAAUGCAGAUGACUUUGAAAGAUUCUAGGGAAAAAUUUCCCAAUUCUGCCAAUAUAAAUAUUGAGAACUGUCACCGCUGCACAUUACGAAACCAUCAGAACCACAGCGCCGGCAAGUUUAGAUUUCAGAAUGAAGGAAAAUUUCCAGUGUUGGAUAUCUAAAUACUACACAGAAAUGGCGGUUGAAGCAUCCCUAGGUAGUUCCGUGCAAUCUCCGUCGGCAGAGAACGUUAAAUCAACCGGAAAAUCGCCUGCCGGUAGCCAAGUUUGUAAUUCUGGUGACGGAGUAUAUUAUUGCCAUCAGUCAUUGCUGCAGUGUCGUCAAAAAACCAGGGCUCCCACAGCAGCAUGCAAGAAUCUUGUGAAGAAGAAACCAUGCUCAAUAAAGAUAUGUUGCAGAUGCCUAUGGAACAGGUACGGUGAAAAGGUGGAGGAAGUAGCUAGUUUGGAGGAAUGGAAGUGCCCGAAAUGCAGGGGCGUUUGCAAUGGCAGUGUGUGCAUGAAGAGAAGGGGCCUUCAACCCGUUGGUGUACUUACAAGUGCAGCAAAAGCGACUGGAUUCUCUCCCGUCACCAAGAUGUCAACUGCUGAGGGUUCAGCUAAUGGAAAGGUGCGUAGACAAUCUGCCAGGUCAAGGAAACGUAUGGAAAAAUCUACCAGGCAAAGGAAAUAGAAAGAAAAUGGAGUGAACGAGUCAACGACAACCUGACCCAGGAGAUUGAGGAAGCAGAUGUGAGUGGAAAAGUAUCUUUUUGAAGGACUUUCUUGGAGGGCAAAAUCGACAAUUCAGUAGAGAAAUUACCCUUGGAAGUUCAAGCCUCAACUAUAAAUAGUGACAACAUGAAGAGAGGCGAUCAUCAUCGAUCAUCAUUCACAGUUCACUUUUCACUCUUAGCUCAUCACUUCACACACAUUUCUCUGCGCACUUAGCAAUUAUGGGUUAAAUUCUGGGGAUACGUGGUGGCCUAGUUAAAAUUCUGUGGUGUAACACUGUCCUUGUGAAGGGCGAAGAUACAAUUUACUGUUUUCUGUCGUUUUGAGCCGAGACUUCGACAUUUUAGAAGCUCGGCGUUUAUCACUUCCGUGUUGAACCUUAAAUAUCGUAGUUAUGGAAGUUUAUGUUUUCUGUUUAGUUGUUUCUGAUGUUUUGAAUGUUGGUAUUUACUGAUUUGGAUGCUUUUCGCAAUUGAUGUUUGAUUUGGAGUUAAGAUCGGGUUGAUCGGGUUUGAUUUGUCGUUGAAUCGGUUGAAUCGGAGUUGAGGUGUGUGGAUCUGACGUAUUGGAGUUGGUUUUUGAUGAUCUGAAGUUGAAUUGUUGAUUGGAGUUGUGGAUCUGAAACGUGGUGUUCUGAAUUUUGCAUGGUUAUGGAUGUUUAUUGUUUUCUUCUUGUUUUGCUCGACCUAGUAGUUUAGUUCUAGUCAUUUCAUGUUUGAUCGUACUGUUUGAAGUUGGAUCUGUGAUUGCUCUGUUUUCAUAUGCUUGAUGCUCUGUUUCACCUCUGUUUAUUUAUAUUAUUGGAGAAGAUGGAGGUAGAAAUUAGUUAGAGAUCGAAUCUAUCGUUGGCCGUUGUUUACUUUCUGCAACUUUUCUGUCGCUAUAGCUUAAUCGGGGAAAUGGUCCCCACUGCACUGUCUAGCUGUUUUCGAAAACCCGUUUACCUGGUCUGGUAGUUUAGUUGUUAAAUUUCUCUAGUUAACGCGGGAAGGACAUGUUUGGAUAUGGGGUCAACCAUGGCCACGUGGUGAUAUGUAUGUUCCCAUGCACUAAAGUCUGCAAUAGUAUUUUUGUUGUGGUGCUGCCUGAUCCUUUCAUUGAAGCAUGCUAGGAUCAGUUAGCGUUGAGUAAUUGAUAGCAGCUGCUUAGAGGGGAGCAUGGAAGGCUGGGUUUUGGAGAUGACAAAAGCAGCAAAAUGGUUCCUCAAAGGGUUCAACUUCAAGUAGCCGACGAAACAGUGCAGGUGUCUUGUGGAGGUACGCAUUCUGUUGCGUUAACACAGGAUGGUCGCAUGUACUCGUUUGGACGAGGAGACCAUGGGCGUUUAGGUUAUGGACGGAAAGCAACUACUGGGCAUCCAGCUGAAGUGCCUAUAAACAUCCCUCCUCCUAAGGAUCUGAGUGCGGAAGAAGGCAGUUGGUGUGCGACCCUUGUCGCUUGUGGGGGCCGCCACACGCUGGCUCUCGUAGAAUGGCGUGAUCAUAAGCAGCAGCUCCUCUAAAGCAAGCUUUUCUUGCUUAUGAGAAAAAUAUAGCUAGACUUUUAUUGUACUACUUCAGGAGUCCAAACUAACUUAAUUACCUAUCUAUGAACUCUAAAUAUCGAUAGAAUAAUCGUGAGAGUCUACCUGUUCAUCCAAACAAAACAAGGCAUAGCCAACUAUAUAUGACUAUAUAAUAUGAGGAUGUAUGUUUGGCUACAAA